rfam:Marivita cryptomonadis strain CL-SK44 contig29, whole genome shotgun sequence.
ACCAAUACCUCGGGGUGCCAGAAAACUGGCUGAGAUGCGUCAUGCGAACCCGUUGAACCUGAACCAGUUAACACUGGCGGAGGGAAGGUCUGGACACGCUCC